rnacentral:rRNA from 1 species
CCUACGGGUGGCUGCAGUGAGGAAUAUUGGUCAAUGGACGCGAGUCUGAACCAGCCAUGUCGCGUGAAGGAUGACGGCCCUAUGAGUUGUAAACUGCUUUUAUAAAAGGAUAAACCGAGGCACGUGUACCUUUUUGCAUGUACUUUAUGAAUAAGGAUCGGCUAACUCCGUGCCAGCAGCCGCGGUAAUACGGAGGAUCCGAGCGUUAUCCGGAUUUAUUGGGUUUAAAGGGAGCGUAGGUGGGUUGUUAAGUCAGUUGUGAAAGUUUGCGGCUCAACCGUAAAAUUGCAAUUGAUACUGGCAGGCUAGAGUACAGUUGAGGUAAGCGGAAUGCGUGGUGUAGCGGUGAAAUGCUUAGAGAUCACGAAGAACCCCGAUUGCGAAGGCAGCUUACUAAGCUGUGACUGACAUUGAGGCUCGAAAGUGUGGGGAGCAAACAGGAUUAGAUACCCUAGUAGUC